rnacentral:lncRNA from 1 species
AUUUAGUUCAAGAACUGUCUUCUCUGGAAAACUUUCUUUUUUUUUUUUUUUUUUCCUGAGACGGAGUCUCGCUCUGUCUCGCCCCGGCUAGAGUGCAGUGGCGCAUUCUCGGCUCACUGCAAGCUCCGCCUCCUGGGUUCACGCCAUUCUCCUGCCUCAGCCUCUCCGAGUAGCUGCGUCUGCAGGCGCCCGCCACCACGCCCGGCUAAUUUUUUUUUUUUUUUUUUUUUUUUUUUGGAUUUUUAGUAGAGAAGGGGUUUCACCGUGGUCUCAAUCUCCUGACCUCGUGAUCUGCCCGCCUCGGCCUCCCAAAGUGCUGGGAUUACAAGCGUGACCCACCGCGCCCCGCCUGGAAAACUUUCAGUGAUCACCCAAGAUGGCGUCUGCCUUUGUUGCCCAGGCUGGAGUGCAGUGGUGCCAUUUCGGCUCACUGCAACCUCUGCCUCCAGGGUUCAAGGGAUUCUUCUGCCUUAGCCUCCUGAUUAUGACUUUUUUAAAGUUAUAGAAUACACUUAAGAACAACUGGAAGAAAUUUGAAUAUGUACCUCUAUUUGAUGUUACUAAGGAAUUGUUGUUAACUCCUUACAUAUGAUAAUGGAAUAGUAUGGCUGUAAAUGAACAUGUCCUCAUUCUUUAGGAGAUACAUCCUGAAGCAUCUUGAUGUCUUUCAUUGAUUUUCACAUAGUUUAUUUGAAAAAUACAAACACAUUUAUAGCUACAUUAAGCAAAUGUGGCAAAAGUUAACAGUUAUUGAAUUUAGAUGUUGGGCAUAUGGAUGUUCAUUGUUCAUUUAAACAUUUCAGUAUUUACAAAUGUAUAAUAUAAAUUUGGAAACAAAAGAAAAAUGACAUAUGUGUUUUGUGUGUGUGAUUCUAUUUGUGUAUAUGUAUGUGAGUUAAUCUCCAGAAAUUCAAUAAAAAUCUUUGUCUCAGAAU